GUUUAGAACGUCGUGAGACAGUUCGGUCCCUAUCUGCCGUGGGCGCUGGAGAACUGAGGGGGGCUGCUCCUAGUACGAGAGGACCGGAGUGGACGCAUCACUGGUGUUCGGGUUGUCAUGCCAAUGGCACUGCCCGGUAGCUAAAUGCGGAAGAGAUAAGUGCUGAAAGCAUCUAAGCACGAAACUUGCCCCGAGAUGAGUUCUCCCUGACCCUUUAAGGGUCCUGAAGGAACGUUGAAGACGACGACGUUGAUAGGCCGGGUGUGUAAGCGCAGCGAUGCGUUGAGCUAACCGGUACUAAUGAACCGUGAGGCUUAACCUUACAACGCCGAAGCUGUU
rnacentral:rRNA from 1 species